AGCCGCGGUAAUUCCAGCUCCAAUAGCGUAUACUAAAGUUGUUGCGGUUAAAAAGCUCGUAGUUGGAUCUUGGAAUGUGUUCAAGCGGGUCAGCUUCUGGCUGUGCGCCGCUUGACGUGUUCUUCUAUUUGGUUUUGGUGCGGUGCGCUUAACUGCGUGUCGCUCCCGGCCGAAACGUUUACCUUGAAAAAAUUAGAGUGUUCAAAGCAGACCUGUUUGAGUCUGAAUAUUCGUGCAUGGAAUAAUGAAAUAUGAAUUCGGUUCUAUUUUGUUGGUUUUCGGAACUCGAGUUAAUGUUCAAGAGGGACAGACGGGGGCAUUCGUACUCUGCCGUUAGAGGUGAAAUUCUUGGAUCGGCGGAAGACGCGCAACUGCGAAAGCAUUUGCCAAGAAUGUUUUCUUUAAUCAAGAACGAUAGUCGGAGGUUCGAAGACGAUCAGAUACCGUCCUAGUUUCGACUGUAAACUAUGCCAGCUAACGAUCAGACAGAGUUCUCUACGACUUGCCUGGCAGUUUCCGGGAAACCAAAGCGUUUGGGUUCCGGGGGAAGUAUGGUUGCAAAGCUGAAACUUAAAGGAAUUGACGGAAGGGCACCACCAGGAGUGGAGCCUGCGGCUUAAUUUGACUCAACACGGGGAAACUCACCCGGCCCGGACACAGUGAGGAUUGACAGAUUGAGAGUUCUUUCUUGAUUCUGUGGGUGGUGGUGCAUGGCCGUUCUUAGUUGGUGGAGCGAUUUGUCUGGUUAAUUCCGAUAACGAACGAGACUCUGGCAUGUUAAAUAGUCGCGGAAGUGCGUAUGCACUUGCCGAAUUGACUUCUUAGAGGGACUAGUGAUUUUAAUUCACACGAGAUUGAGCAAUAACAGGUCUGUGAUGC
rnacentral:rRNA from 1 species